AGCCAACGUCCCCGAGGAGCUGCGGGAGCCGUUCUAUACGGAUCAGUACGACCAGGAGCACGUGAAGCCCCCCGUGUGCCGCCUCCUCACCGCCACCGACCUCUACUGCCGGGCAUGGCGCCACGCCGUGCCCCCCCCCGCCGCCCCCCCCGGCCCCCCCGCCGACACGGCGGCUCUGCUGGCUCUGUUGGGUCGCUAUGGGGUGAGCCCCACCUUCCAGGAGCGGCCAGUGGAGGGAGGCUGAGCUGAGGCAGAUGCCGCUGUGUAUGGACGCCCACCUGGCCCUCAUUGACUCCCUAUUGCUGUUCUUUGUCAAUGAGGCCACGCGAUCUUUGGGGCCCCCCCCGGAGCCGCGGCCCCCCCCCCACGCACAGCGCCUGGGAGCAGCGCGUGCUCAGAUGGGUGGAUGCGGUGAACCGCCGACUGCAGGAGAGCACUGAGAGGGGGGGAACCGCCCCGCGCCCCCCCCGGAUGGAAGCGCCCCCCCGACCCCAAGGUGGGCACUGUGAUAAUGGGGGGGGGGGGGCACAGAGUGCCAUUAUUCCUAUGGGGGGGGGGGGGCACAGUGCCUUUAUUUAUAUAUGGGGGGGGCAUGGUGCUA
rnacentral:lncRNA from 1 species